UACGAAGGGGCUAGCGUUGCUCGGAAUCACUGGGCGUAAAGGGUGCGUAGGCGGGUCUUUAAGUCAGAGGUGAAAUCCUGGAGCUCAACUCCAGAACCUGCCUUUGAUACUGAGGAUCUUGAGUUCGGGAGAGGUGAGUGGAACUGCGAGUGUAGAGGUGAAAUUCGUAGAUAUUCGCAAGAACACCAGUGGCGAAGGCGGCUCACUGGCCCGAUACUGACGCUGAGGCG
rnacentral:rRNA from 1 species